rnacentral:tRNA from 3 species
GUUGAUAGUGGGGCUAUGGCUUCUUCCUUGA